rnacentral:rRNA from 1 species
AGCGAACGCUGGCGGCGUGCUUAACACAUGCAAGUCGAACGCGCAGCAUUCUGUAGCAAUACAGGGUGUGGGCGCGUGGCGAACGGGUGCGUAACACGUGGAUAACCUUCCUUGAGGUGGGGAAUAACCCAGUGAAAAUUGGGCUAAUACCGCAUAACAUCGCGAUGGCACAUGCUGAUGCGAUCAAAGGCGCAAGUCGCCACAAGAGGGAUCCGCGGCCGAUUAGCUAGUUGGCGAGGUAAUGGCUCACCAAGGCAAUGAUCGGUAGCC